GAGUUCAAGAACAGCCUGGCCAGGAUGGU
rnacentral:piRNA from 1 species